rnacentral:rRNA from 1 species
CCACAUCGACGGGGAGGUUUGGCACCUCGAUGUCGGCUCAUCGCAUCCUGGGGCUGUAGUCGGUCCCAAGGGUUGGGCUGUUCGCCCAUUAAAGCGGUACGCGAGCUGGGUUCAGAACGUCGUGAGACAGUUCGGUCCCUAUCCGUCGCGGGCGCAGGAAAUUUGAGAGGAGCUGUCCUUAGUACGAGAGGACCGGGAUGGACGCACCGCUGGUGUACCAGUUGUUCUGCCAAGGGCAUCGCUGGGUAGCUAUGUGCGGACGGGAUAAGUGCUGAAAGCAUCUAAGCAUGAAGCCCCCCUCAAGAUGAGAUUUCCCAUUCCUAUAAGGAAGUAAGAUCCCUGAAAGAUGAUCAGGUUGAUAGGUCUGAGGUGGAAGUGUGGCGACACAUGGAGCUGACAGAUACUAAUCGAUCGAGGACUUAACCUAA